AAACGACGCUACUUGCACCAUAGAAGGAAGAAAAUUGUAGAGCAGCUCAUCCUGUUGUCCGCAGAGGAACCUUCCAGAGAGUCAAGGUGUGUUGUUGAAAAGAGUCCGUGUUGCAGUUGCUCGGGAGG